rnacentral:rRNA from 1 species
GACGAACGCUGGCGGCGUGCUUAACACAUGCAAGUCGAACGGAAAGGCCUGCUUUCCCUUGUGGAUUGCGGGUACUCGAGUGGCGAACGGGUGAGUAACACGUGAGUGAUCUGCCCCCAACUUGGGUAUAAGCCUGGGAAACUGGGUCUAAUUCCCGAUAGGACUGCAGGGUGGUGCCUGUGGUGGAAAACGAUUUUCUAGUGGUUGGGGAUGAGCUCGCGGCCUAUCAGCUUGUUGGUGGGGUAAUGGCCUACCAAGGCGGCGACGGGUAGCCGGCCUGAGAGGGUGGACGGCCACAUUGGGACUGAGAUACGGCCCAGACUCCUACGGGAGGCAGCAGUGGGGAAUAUUGCACAAUGGGCGGAAGCCUGAUGCAGCGACGCCGCGUGGGGGAUGACGGCCUUCGGGUUGUAAACUCCUUUCGACCGCGAGGAAGCCACCUGGUUGGAAGGGUGGUGACGGUAGUGGUAGAAGAAGCAGCGGCUAACUACGUG